CAGCCGCGGUAAUACGUAGGGGGCAAGCGUUGUCCGGAAUCAUUGGGCGUAAAGAGCGUGUAGGCGGCUCGGUAAGUCCGCUGUGAAAGUCCAGGGCUCAACCCUGGAAUGCCGGUGGAAACUGUCGAGCUCGAGUCCGGAAGAGGCGAGUGGAAUUCCUGGUGUAGCGGUGAAAUGCGCAGAUAUCAGGAGGAACACCAAUGGCGAAGGCAGCUCGCUGGGACGGUACUGACGCUGAGACGCGAAAGCGUGGGGAGCAAACAGGAUUAGAUACCCUGGUAGUCCACGCCGUAAACGAUGGGCACUAGGUGUGGGGGGUGUCGACUCCCUCCGUGCCGACGCUAACGCAUUAA
rnacentral:rRNA from 1 species